rnacentral:misc_RNA from 1 species
GACAAAUUUUGCUGUUGUUCCUUUUCCUCACCCGGAUCCUUACUAUCACGAUCUAGUUGCUGCCUAUGGAAAUCCAACCUUGGUUCAAUCCCAAAUGUUAGGCACGGUUGCUCCUCGGGUGCCACUUCCACUUGACCUUAAGCAAGAUGAGCCUAUAUUUGUCAAUGCUAAACAAUAUCAGGCUAUCCUCAGGCGUAGACAAUACCGUGCUAG